GACGUAGGAGGCGAGCGUUGUCCGGAUUCAUUGGGCGUAAAGAGCGCGCAGGCGGCUUGGUAAGUCGGAUGUGAAAACCCGAGGCUCAACCUCGGGCGUGCAUCCGAAACUGCUCGGCUAGAGGUAGGUAGGGGAGAUCGGAAUUCCUGGUGUAGCGGUGAAAUGCGCAGAUAUCAGGAGGAACACCGGUGGCGAAGGCGGGUCUCUGGGCAGUAACUGACGCUGAGGAGCGAAAGCGUGGGGAGCAAACAGG
rnacentral:rRNA from 1 species